GAACAGAACCAAGGUGAACCACAAUUGGGCAGCAGAUGAAGUAGUGGAGAUACAGGCACCUUUUAAAAAUCUGGACCUCCCUGUCAGGUCACAUAAGAAGACAAACCCCAGCCUUGUGAAUGCUGAGAAAGUGCAAAAACAACAACCUGUUGAACAGUUCUACCUCCCCAUCGAGUCAGAUGAGGAGGACAUUGUAGGCCCUGUAAAUUAAAAAGAGUUGGAGACACAGGG